rnacentral:rRNA from 1 species
UAGGGAAUCUUCGGCAAUGGACGGAAGUCUGACCGAGCAACGCCGCGUGAGUGAAGAAGGUUUUCGGAUCGUAAAGCUCUGUUGUUAGAGAAGAACGUUGGUAGGAGUGGAAAAUCUACCAAGUGACGGUAACUAACCAGAAAGGGACGGCUAACUACGUGCCAGCAGCCGCGGUAAUACGUAGGUCCCGAGCGUUGUCCGGAUUUAUUGGGCGUAAAGCGAGCGCAGGCGGUUCUUUAAGUCUGAAGUUAAAGGCAGUGGCUUAACCAUUGUACGCUUUGGAAACUGGAGGACUUGAGUGCAGAAGCGGAGAGUGGAAUUCCAUGUGUAGCGGUGAAAUGCGUAGAUAUAUGGAGGAACACCGGUGGCGAAAGCGGCUCUCUGGUCUGUAACUGACGCUGAGGCUCGAAAGCGUGGGGAGCAAACAGG